rnacentral:rRNA from 1 species
UACGUAGGCAGCGAGCGUUGUUCGGAGUUACUGGGCGUAAAGGGUGUGUAGGCGGUUGUUUAAGUUUGGUGUGAAAUCUCCCGGCUCAACUGGGAGGGUGCGCCGAAUACUGAAUGACUUCGAGUGCGGGAGAGGAGAGUGGAAUUCCUGGUGUAGCGGUGAAAUGCGUAGAUAUCAGGAGGAACACCUGUGGUGUAGACGGCUUUCUGGACCAUAGCUGACGCUGAGACACGAAAGCGUGGGUAGCAAACAGG